AGUGUUUGAUCAUGGCUCAGGAUAAACGCUGGCGGCGCACAUAAGACAUGCAAGUCGAACGAACUUAACCAUUAGUUUACUAUUGGAGCGGUUAGUGGCGGACUGGUGAGUAACACGUAAGCAACCUGCCUAUCAGAGGGGAACAACAGUUAGAAAUGACUGCUAAUACCGCAUAUGCCUUAGAAUCACAUGGUUCGAAAGGGAAAGGAGCAAUCCGCUGAUAGAUGGGCUUGCGU
rnacentral:rRNA from 1 species